rnacentral:lncRNA from 1 species
CCCAGGGCGUGGUGAAUCUUUACAGGCUCUACAACUGGAGUGUGGGGACCCCGUGGUGACUGCACAUGUGACCCAUCAAGCUUCUCCAAGUCCUGCUGCUUUCUACCUGGAGCAUGAGGAUAUGAUGGAAUCUGACUUAGAUCUCAAAGCUCCAUGAGGAACCGAAGGGAACUCAGUUCCCCACACACCUAUUUCUAUCUGGUUGGGUCUGAUUUACCAGACCAAGACUAGUUUCUUGGUUAAGUACUGAAGAGAUCAGUCUGUACAAAGUGAGGCAGCAUGGCAUGGUGGUUAAAAGCAUUAAUUUUGGAGUGGCCAAGCUGCGUGGGGUCAAAUCCUUACCCCACUAUUUAGCAAUUGAGCAUAGGCUCACUGAUCAACUUCCCUGUGCCCCGGGAUCCUUAGGAGUAAAAUGGGGAUGGUGAUAAUAGUACCUUACGUAUAUUUCGUGUGAGAACUAAACUAGUCCGUAUAAGUAGAUUGCUUUGAAACUAGGCUGCAUUAUAGUAACUACAUACCUGCACCAAGGGCUGGACUGCAAGAAAACUUUAGGCCCUUGUUAGCCCACCCAAGCCUCAAAGGAGAUCUGUGUCGUGAGCCUCCCGCCAACCACAGCUCCAGCCAAUCUCCAGCCCAAAGCAGCCGUGCCAGCGCUGUGAUUGGCUUGCCAGUCCUCCCUGCCUUGGAAUGUUGGGUCCUUAACAAAGGAAUGAGGAAGGAAGGUGAGUCACCUGGGGAGGGUGUUAAAGGGCCCGGAGCAGGAGGGAAAGAGAAGGAAGGGAAGAGCUCGGUGGGGGAGGAGGAGUGUGUCGGGGACCCUGAGAUGCUGAAACGGGUUCUCAUUAGAGCACAGAGUGGGAAAGACUAACACUAGAAGUGGGAUAGAAGUUAGAAUAGACAGAACUUCAUGGAAGGGAAAAAGCAACAAACAUCAGGUCUUGAUUUCCACGGAGAACUAAGAAAAGGUCUAGGGAGUAAUAUUGCUGGAAGGUAGGUCAUAAUAAGGACUUCCUGAAAGCAACUCCCGAAAUAUUUUUCUUCUGGCCCCUGAACUACCCUUUCCAGAAUCCUCUGGGUGGAAAAUGCCUGCAGGGGCUCAGACACCUGGGUUUCAUUUCUGCCCCCCCCCCCCCUUCUGCCUACCAACCCAUCUUCCCUAAGAAAAACCACCUAACAGCCCCAAAUGGCAAUGAAAUCCUCUAGGAAUCAGGCACUGAGAUGCCCACCAAAGUCCUGGGGCCAGGGCUGGGGUGAGGGCAAAGGGCAGGACCCCACCCUGAAAACUGCUUAAAAGCCUCUCUAGGAGUGUCAGCCUCACAAAUUCAUAAGGCCGGGGGAUGCCAGCAUCUCCUUUUCUUCACACCGCCCCCAAGCAUCCAUAAUCCAGCGUAAUUUGAAAAGCUCAUCCUCAUCCUUAUCCUCAUCCCCCAAGAUUGCUUCGCUUCCUGUCAUAACCCUGGGACGCCCUUCCUGUUGGUCCAGCCACCGUGUCUGGUGGCUUGAUUGGUCCUGUCUGCCUUCUCCAUAGCCCCCUGGACAAUCUGCAACCCCUCACCUCAUCCCUUCCAUCAGGAUGAUCAUCCUCCCUCCAGUUUUUGGGCAUCCCCGCAAACGGCCCCACCCUCCCCCACAUCUAUCCGCUGGUGAGGGCAGGGACCAUCCCACCCCUGGAUAGGUACUGGAGGCUCCUCCUAUAUACCGCCUCCCUGUGAACGUGUGUAUUACCCAGCAACAGUUUGUAGAGUACUCUCUGUUCUGUGUACCCACCCCAUCAGGGCACACCAUUUUGAAAUAACAUUUUUUGUUUCCAAUGUACUCUCCCCAUGAGAUCCCGAGCUCCUCAGGGCAGCAAUCUGACUCAACUUUGGGUCUUCAGGGCCUAGCAGGGCCUGGCAUGGAAUGUGCUCAGCAAAUGUCUAUUACAUGACUCUGUGUGUGUAUGUGCGCGCGUGUAGCUGUGUAUCGGAGUUAAGGUUGUCAAAACUUAAAGUUUUAUUGAACAUCUCCACUUGUCCAUUGAUAAACGUGCUGGCCCAGGGG